rnacentral:lncRNA from 1 species
UUUAUUAAGAAUAACUCUAUGAAUUCUCUAUAUGCUUGAUUGAGAGUUUUUAUCCAUGGCAUUAUUGUUUAUUGAUCAUAGAUAUGAUAAUAUGUACUUGGUAUGCUUUUGAAUAUAUGCACUAUGAAUACCAAGAUUAAAGAAACCAUCUUUGGCAUAUAAAAUCAACUCAUGCUAGUAUGUACUUAAUCUCAAAAGACCUUGCCAUUGCCUUACUUAGAUUAUCUUCUGAAAGGUCAAAGUUUGCUAUGCAUGUUAACUAAGGAAACAAACAAGAAUCAAUUUCUAAAUCUAAAGAUGUUGUUUCCAUCACUAAGUUUUCAAAAGCUUACAUUGGAUUUGUUCUUGGCUAAUAAAAUUGAAAUAUUUUCUGUAUUUGCUAAAUCUUGUAAAAGUGUUUCAAAUGAUAAAGAUUUCCAAACUGUGAAGGUAUCAUGGCACAGUGUUGAAAACCAAAAUCCUGAUAAAGUUUAUACAGAAAUUAAUUAUUUCAGCACCAAGGACACCUUAAGUAAAAUAGGGUUAAUAGAAUUCUUGAA